CAUGCAAGUCGAACGGUCAAGAUUUAUCUUGAUAGUGGCGGACGGGUGAGUAACGCGUAAGCAACCACCUUUUAUGGGGGACAACCCGGGAAACUGGGGCUAAUACCGCAUGUGGUGCUACGGCAUAAGUCGUAUCACUAAAGCCUUCGGGCGCUAGUUGAGGGGCUUGCGUUCGAUUAGCUUGUUGGUGGGGUAACGGCCUACCAAGGCGACGAUCGAUAGCUGGUCUGAGAGGAUGAUCAGCCACACGGAGACUGAGACACGGCCCCGACUCC
rnacentral:rRNA from 1 species